rnacentral:rRNA from 1 species
CCUACGGGAUGCAGCAGUGGGGAAUAUUGGGCAAUGGGCGCAAGCCUGACCCAGCAACGCCGCGUGAAGGAAGAAGGCUUUCGGGUUGUAAACUUCUUUUGUCAGGGAAGAGUAGAAGACGGUACCUGACGAAUCAGCCACGGCUAACUACGUGCCAGCAGCCGCGGUAAUACGCAGGUGGCAAGCGUUGUCCGGAUUUACUGGGUGUAAAGGGCGUGUAGCCGGGUUGACAAGUCAGAUGUGAAAUCCUGCGGCUUAACCGCAGAACUGCAUUUGAAACUGUUGAUCUUUAGUACUGGAGAGGCAGACGGAAUUCCUAGUGUAGCGGUGAAAUGCGUAGAUAUUAGGAGGAACACCAGUGGCGAAGGCGGUCUGCUGGACAGCAACUGACGGUGAGGCGCGAAAGCGUGGGGAGCAAACAGGAUUAGAUACCCCGGUAGUC